AUUGAACGCUGGCGGCAGGCCUAACACAUGCAAGUCGAGCGGAUGACGGGAGCUUGCUCCUUGAUUCAGCGGCGGACGGGUGAGUAAUGCCUAGGAAUCUGCCUGGUAGUGGGGGACAACGUUUCGAAAGGAACGCUAAUACCGCAUACGUCCUACGGGAGAAAGCAGGGGACCUUCGGGCCUUGCGCUAUCAGAUGCGCCUAGGUCGGAAUAGCUAGUUGGGGGGGUAAUGGCUCAGCAAGGCGGAGAUCCGUAACUGGUCUGAGAGGAUGAUCAAUCAAACUGGAACUGAGACACGGUCCAGACUCCUACGGGAGGCAGCAGUGGGGAAUAUUGGACAAUGGGCGAAAGCCUGAUCCAGCCAUGCAGCGUGUGUGAAGAAGGUCUUCGGAUUGUAAAGCACUUUAAGUUGGGAGGAAGGGCAGUAAGCUAAUACCUUGCUGUUUUGACGUUACCGACAGAAUAAGCACCGGCUAACUCUGUGCCAGCCGCCGCCGUAAUAC
rnacentral:rRNA from 1 species